UACGUCAUGGAGUAUUGCGGACAUUGUUUUUUUUUUUUUAAUUCUCUCUCAUUUGCUUCAUUAACAACUUUUAACUGUAAAUGAAAAACAUAAUAUAUACAUAUUUUUCAUAAUGCGUGUAUAAUAUAUGCGUAAAAAUAAAUAAAGUUGUCAUUAAUAUUUUCACACUGCACAGAUGGGUGUUUUGGGUGACUGAGUUGGGUAUUAUUUGCAGUUAAAUAUGAAUAAAUUCUUGGCUGAUGUAGUAUAAUACUCAAAAAGAGAACAUUCUCCCAGAUUGGAGUGACAGAUAUUGUAACGCUCAAUGACUACGUUUACAUGCACGUCAAUAUUCCGAUAUUAAUCGGAAAUCGGCAGUAAUCGUAUUACUAAUUAGUAUUAUAUUCUGAUCCCCACCCCUGGAAUAUACCUGUUUUAAUCAGAAAUGUGUCGCACCUUAUUCAGAAAAUCCACUGAAAGGAGAUAUGCGCAUGCUCAGUCCGCAAGGAAUUGUGGGUACUAACAGGUAUUUACUCAGACAUACUUACGGCCAUGUAUAGAGGAAUAUUCCAAUGCAUUUGCGCAUAUAAACAUUGUAUUCGGAAUAUGGCUGCAACCCGAAUAUAGACCUUGAAAUACAUCAUUCAUUCGUAUUCAGGAAACACUUUAUACUGGUCAGGGUCACGGUGGAUCCUCCUGGGAACACUGGGCGUGAGGUGGGGACACACCCAGGACGGGAUGCCAGUCCAUCACAGAACACCAUGCACAUACUCAAUCACACCUAUGCGCAACUGAGCAUAGGAUGGUAGAAGAAAACCACGCAGACACAAGGAGAACAUCCGAAAGUCCGCAAACACGGUAACCCAAAUUCAGGCUCAACCCACCUCUACAGUCACAGCUGGUAGCAGUCCUAUGGCCAGAACCAGAAAAAGGACUAGCAGAUGGUCAACACACCACGUGCAUGGAAAAGGCUUUAAUCUCCAGCUAUAAACCUACAAGGCGGAUCAAGAAGCUUUAGCCAUGUCUAUAUCAGGCAGCCAAACUCCGAGGCGCUCAGACAUGCAGCGUGAGUUGAAGGAACUUCUUCAUAGUAUGGAAAAAGCGCACAAAGCUGACAUCCAGAGAUACAUCUCAGGUCAUCUGGGUCCGAACAUCCUCACUCAUAAUCCCCUCUACUGCAGGCCAUGUAAGCCUAUUUGGAACAAGCCCAAGCGUAAAGACACGGGCCCUUCUCACGUCCAGGAAAGGAGCAAAAUGGAAGCUAGAGUGGAAGAAGCUAAAGUGGAAGAAGCUAAAGUGGAAGAAGUGACUGACACCCUGCACAGUUUCAGCAUAAACACCAGGCUACAGGAGCUGAGGAUCGAGGAAAGGCCAGAAAGCACCAGUGGGGAAUUGCUGAGCAUUGAUCUGAGGGGAGUUCUGGACAUGACACAGCUAGCUAAGCUGAGAAAAGCAAAGCAGGAAAGAUGUGCAGUGUCUAGCAUGGUGGAACAGGACAGCUGCUUGUUCUCACUCUCACACGAAGAUGGGCUCACCUGGAGCGAUCGACUGCGCUGGAGGCAGCGCUUUGACACUCAGGUUUUGGGGACAAAAGACCUGACCACCAGGAAGUGUUUGAGUGGUAGAGAAGCAGCAAAGCAGCAUGAGCGCAGGCUUCAGCAGGCACUGAGGAAACUUCCUGCUGGCGGAGGUCCCUGCAGACAGCGCCUCACGGUAUUUAGUGAGGUCUUUGAUGACGUGUGUGACGGCUCACCUGUAUUCAGCAGCGUCCUCCGAGAAAUCAAGACAGAGUAUGAUUUGUACAUGAAGUCACUCCUUUUCUCCCAGUCCCCUCUCCAGGAUAAGUCUGCAUGUACCCCCUUCGGAGCCUCCACAGAAGCAAGAAAGUUAAAGGACGCAGCAAGGCAAGUGCUAUUACUGGAACAGGAAGCCAGGAGUUCUCUAGAGGAAAAUGACAGCGUCAGAAGAGAGUAUGAAGAUGCUCAAGCCAAAGCCCUGGUAGACCAGAAGGAAGAUGGCAGGGGAUCAGAAAGCUGUGAGACGGGUCAGCGUGAUGAGGUUGCCUUCUCAGAAGUGAAACAGUGUGAACUCUCCUCCAUCGCUCAGGUGGAGGCUAAGAGACAGCAAGUGUGGGAAGUGUGGAACGAGGUGCAGAGUCUUCAAAAAGACAUCAGAGAGACGAUGGUGUCCACUGUUACCACCAGCGCUCUUGAGAACUGCAUCAGAGACUCAGAAGUAUGGUCGUUUUCGCAUCAGGAAGAAAUCUUGAACUUGGCCGCUUCAAACGUGCUUCUCCUGAAAACCAAUAAGGAUCUCGAACAAAACGUUUCGACAUUCCUGAAAGUCAGCGAGGAGACAAAGACGCGGGCUUGGGAGAAGAUACGGACCACGCUGAACGGACAUGAUUAGGACACUCCAGUCAUAAAAUUGGCCGCUUUGUGACACUGAUUUCUGUUUAAACCUCCAUGAGGGUCUCGCUCUCACAGCACAGGAAGUGGUUUAUUACUCUGAUGUCUGCUGUUUUUCUGAGAAACGAUCGUCUUCGUCUGUAGCUGCC